AAAGAAAAAAAAAAAAAAAAAAAAGGAUACAAAUGAACUUAGUCAUAAAACAGAAGAGAGUCACAGAUGUAGAAAACAAACAUGGUUACCAGCGAAUAAAAGGGGGAGGGGUAAAUUGGGACUAAUAUAUAGACACUGCUAUUUAUGAAAUAGAUAAUUAAUAAGAACCUAUUACAUUCUGCUCACUACUCUGUAAUGGCCUAUAUGGGAAAAGAAUCUUAAAAAGUUGUGGAAGUGGAAACUAACACAACAUUAUAAAUCAACUGUACAACAGUAAAAAUUAAAACAACAACAACAAAAUGACUCCAGAGUCCACCUGUCAGUUUGAAAAGGAUUGACAGUUGUAUCUGAGCAUUAUGUGCUCAGAUAUUGAUUUGACACCAAAGGCACAGACAAUACUACCCAACCCUUGGUAGCUUGGUGGCAAGACAUCCAGGUACCUGGAGUCUCAGCUUUCUGUUGCCAGCCUGUGUGUUACCCAAGAGUUAGAGCCACGUCUUACCUGCCUUCCUCUGCAGAGCACCCUGGCAGCAAAAAGGGAAAGCUGGCAUCUGUAGUAGCCCUUCUCUUUAGGUGACACAAAAAUGACCUCUUGUUAUCUUUUACUGACUCCACAGCUGCUAUAGCAUUCGGUUAGCCAUGGUUACGAAUUGGGUUUUGUGUAUGGCAGACGCUUGACCUCACUUACGGCCGACGCUUGACCUCACUUAAACCCCACACCAAAGCUCCGAUGGGGUAUUUAAGAAUGAGAGCAAGUUUCUUCAGUGUUGUCGGCCCCUAUCUCUCCCAUGGCCUGCCCUCACCUCACCUCUCACCCCUCCAAAUCAAGGCAUGUCUGAGCUCGGUCUGCCCAGGACUGUUGAUGAGCUUUCGCUUCUGCUUUGUUUCUGAACUAAAACUUGUUCUUCAGAACGGCUCGCACGGCCCCCUGGGAUUAUGACAACUCUCAGCCGAGCUCUGCCAGCAAUUAAUAGAAAUACUAUGAGUCAGCUGGGUAUCCAGACUCCCUUAAUCCAAUGGUGUUGCCCUCUGAUACCACAGCUUCCCAAAUCACCACGGAAGGGAAAAGAGAGAUGGCUGAGGCAUAGUGGCUGUCGUGUACCUUCACCAGACAUGAUGGUUGCAUCAGCUCAUAUUCCCAUGUGCUGGAAUACAGCCAUGUGGUUCCAAUCUAGUGACUGGAGACUUGUGGUCCUUCCCCAUGACUGGUGUGACAAACAGCAUCACGUAUUGUAUCUGCUAUGGUGUGCAAAGAGUAAAAUAAAUGAGAGAUUAAUUUGAAAAGAUUCUACUGAGAGUUCAUAGAGAUGGUUGGGAGCAGAAGAAAGACUAGAAUCCAAGAUGCUCUUCAGAAGAGUAUUAGAAUCACAGAAGGAAAGAGAUCAUGUAAGAAUAGUUUGGAAACCAUGAUUAAAAAUGUCCGACGUUUCUAAUGUCAGAGUCAUUAUGUCUAACGUCGGAAAGAAGUCACAGACAUAAAAUUCCAAGCUGACACAGAAGUUGAGUAGAAACACUGGCUUUGUAUAAAGAGACUAGGUAUGGCUAAUGAGAGUGGGAAAAGCAUAUCAGGUGGUCUUCAAAGCAGACUAAGUUAUAUAGCAGAUCACUGCUGAUAUGAUCAGGGGAGGA